GUAGGUGAACCUGCGGAAGGAUCAUUAUCGAGUUACUAUUGACUUUGAUGCUGGCCGCUUGCGGCAUGUGCUCGAGUCUUUAAAUCCACUCAACCACUGUGCACUAAUUCGAAAGCUUCGCGGUUCAGGCUCCUUCCUUCGGGGGGUCGAGUUCGGGCUUGCGGGGUUUUCGAGCUUCAUACAAACCACAUAUUGUCUUGUCGAAUGUAAUACUUUAUUAAAAAUACAACUUUCAACAACGGAUCUCUUGGCUCUC
rnacentral:misc_RNA from 1 species